rnacentral:rRNA from 1 species
CGUAUCACCCAAGACAACUUUACGGAGUUGACGAUUGACGGAGCGAAGCGACGUCAAAGCGUUCAUUAAAGUCGAGUUGGCUUAGGGAUACGUUCGUUGGGUAGGGGAGCGUUCUGUAAGCCUGUGAAGGUGUGUCGUGAGGCAUGCUGGAGGUAUCAGAAGUGCGAAUGCUGACAUAAGUAACGAUAAAGCGGGUGAAAAGCCCGCUCGCCGGAAGACCAAGGGUUCCUGUCCAACGUUAAUCGGGGCAGGGUGAGUCGACCCCUAAGGCGAGGCCGAAAGGCGUAGUCGAUGGGAAACGGGUUAAUAUUCCCGUACUUGGUGUUACUGCGAAGGGGGGACGGAGAAGGCUAUGUUGGCCGGGCGACGGUUGUCCCGGUUUAAGCGUGUAGGCUGGUUUUCCAGGCAAAUCCGGAAAAUCAAGGCUGAGGCGUGACGACGAGGCACUACGGUGCUGAAGCAACAAAUGCCCUGCUUCCAGGAAAAGCCUCUAAGCAUCAGGUAACAUCAAAUCGUACCCCAAACCGACACAGGUGGUCAGGUAGAGAAUACCAAGGCGCUUGAGAGAACUCGGGUGAAGGAACUAGGCAAAAUGGUGCCGUAACUUCGGGAGAAGGCACGCUGACAUGUAGGUGAAGUGAUUUACUCAUGGAGCUGAAGUCAGUCGAAGAUACCAGCUGGCUGCAACUGUUUAUUAAAAACACAGCACUGUGCAAACACGAAAGUGGACGUAUACGGUGUGACGCCUGCCCGGUGCCGGAAGGUUAAUUGAUGGGGUCAGCGCAAGCGAAGCUCCUGAUCGAAGCCCCGGUAAACGGCGGCCGUAACUAUAACGGUCCUAAGGUAGCGAAAUUCCUUGUCGGGUAAGUUCCGACCUGCACGAAUGGCGUAAUGAUGGCCAGGCUGUCUCCACCCGAGACUCAGUGAAAUUGAACUCGCUGUGAAGAUGCAGUGUACCCGCGGCAAGACGGAAAGACCCCGUGAACCUUUACUAUAGCUUGACACUGAACAUUGAGCCUUGAUGUGUAG